rnacentral:rRNA from 1 species
UACGUAGGGAGCGAGCGUUGUCCGGAUUCAUUGGGCGUAAAGAGCUCGUAGGCGGCUUGAUAAGUCGGAUGUGAAACCUCCAGGCUCAACCUGGAGUCGCAUCCGAUACUGUCAUGGCUAGAGUCCGGUAGGGGCCACGGAAUUCCUGGUGUAGCGGUGAAAUGCGCAGAUAUCAGGAGGAACACCGGUGGCGAAGGCGGUGGCUGGGCCGCACUGACGCUGAGGAGCGAAAAGCGUGGGGAGCGAACGGG